rnacentral:lncRNA from 1 species
CACAGCUGAUCAGCACUUUGUCAACACAGCCAAAGAAGUGAAGGUCACAAACCAGCUGCCUAUCACCUCUAGAAUAUAUCCGGCAAAGACAGAGGAGCAUUUAAGAUGUCAGUGUGCUUAGCAGUAGAACAGUUUAUACAUGAACAAAAUGAUAUUUGAAAUAUUAUUGAGUUGUUGGAAACCUUUUACAGAUUGGAAUUGAUUUCUUCUUGGAUGCAAUGGAAGUUUAAGUAUUGCAUAUUUUCGGCUGAUAAAAGAGAACAGCUGUUAAAACAUGGAGAGUCUACAUGAGAACAGCCAAUACUAUGUCUUCACAAUAACUGCUUAUGCAAAUUUAAAUCUUUUAAUGUACUAAAAGUGCAUUUUUCUGUUUGAUACUCUCAAUCAGACAGUGAGCAAGCAAGGAAACCCCUGACUGCUCUUCACUGCAGUUUAUGUGAAUACAUAGGGCCUUGCUCUGAAGAGGUUUUUUUGUUAACACACUUGCACAACCAUUUAAAACGUCAUUGUCCAUACAAAGACUGAAAUUUUUAAAGCUGCGUACAUUCAACCUUUAAUGUGAGCAGAAGCAAAGCUCGCAGUGGGAAUGCCACUACAUAGUUUAACUAGAAAAGCACUCAGAGAGCGCAGACCUCCGCCAAGCAGCUCAUGUCCCCCCUUAUAUUGUGAUUCACACCAAAACUUUUACUGUUACGUGUCUUUUAUUAACGUUUAUUUUGUUUAAACUGUAUGUUCACUGUUCAUAAUGUUCCUAAAACAAGAAAUGCCCUGACCAGGAUUCACACCCAGGACCUUCUAGUUGUGAGGCGACAGUGCUAACCACUACACCACUGUGCCGCCUAUCUACACCACUGUGCCGCCCAUUGGUUAUCUUUCAGCAUUGAAAAUUCCAACGACACCCUUAUUUUUGUGUGUUCUGGAUCACAGUAUCCAGAAUUUUGUCCGGAUCACCACCAAAAUUUAAUGGGAUCCUCCUGGGGCUGAGACGCACCUCUGGUGAAAAUUUCAGGUCAAUCCGUCUGUUACUUUCUCCGUAAAGUUGCUAACAGACAAACAAACUCACAAACAAACAAACAAACAAACAAACGCUACCAAAAACAUAACCUCCUUGGCGGAGGUAAUAAUGGAAUAAUAUCAAAUAUUGAAAAUCCAGACCAGCUGACUGAAGCUGAAGAGGUUGUUUCAUCCGUGGUUGACACUGACUUUGAGUUUGGGGGACCUGAUGAUGACACACAGGACUUGGAAAUUCAGCUCGAACACAACCUUGCAGCAGUGUUUUGAAAAAUGCCAACAAUUCUGCAUAUAUAUAAGAAAGUGGUGCACAAGAAGUUUUUCAGGAGAUGAUCCAAAUCCAAAUACUCUCUGAGCCAUUACUCAAAUGUUCUGUUCAAAAUGUUAUCAGGUCGUGUUGUGGUGAUGUGGAUGAGUGAGUGAAAUUGUGAAAUCAUUUUCACAAAAUAAUGUUCUACAGAAAUAAAGGUCUCUCUCUCUAUCUCUAUUAUACAACUCCACUAGUCAUGGCAGUUGAAUUUCUCCUUGACAGAGAUGGCCACUCUUUUGUUUAUGUACCAACACUGUGGCGGGCUUUAUUGAGCGAUAAGAACAUUCUGGAGAAGGUGCUGCACACAGAUAUGAUCCCUUCAGAAGGUUAUAACUCUUUCAGAGAUGGCUCUCGUUUUAAAGAAGAUGACCUUUUAAAUGGGGAAGAGUUUAGGAUUGCUCUUGGCUUGUAUAUAGACAAUUUUGAAGUGGCUAAUCCACUGGUUACAUCAAAGAAGAAGCACAAAUUGUGCGCUGUGUAUUGGGUGCUUGCUAAUCUUGACCCCAAAUAUCGGUCAGCUCUCCACUCGAUCCAGCUUGCACUUUUGUGCAAGGUCAACUCUGUGAACCUUUUUAUGAACAGAUAUAUUCAGUCUGCCUGGAUUCACUUUGAUUAUUUGCUUUAUUGUAUUGAUAAAUAUAUCAUGUUAUACAUCACUGGAAAGCUCCUGUUUUCUACUCUCAGGGACCGUAAAAAUGAUUUGUCUGAACCGAUUGAUUUUUGAACUGCGCUUAUGGUUCAGGAGUUACAGUACAUAGACGCUUAUAAGAAGUAGGCAAGGCGAAUCCUGUCACCGGUAAAACGUAGUUCUUCAUUCUUUAAUUCAGGAUCUCGCAGCUCAUAAGGAACAUGGGAAUUAUGUCGAACGACUCACAGAAAGUGCUAAAGAAGCAGUAUGUAGCAGCAGAUAACUUGGAGGCUCACUCCUUGGCUGGAUUUCCAAAGCGUUCUGCAGCCGAAUAUUUUUGUUUGUUCUGCACUAUUAAGUGGGGGUAGAUUCAGGUUAUGGAGGUUUGCACCAGAUGAGUUAAUGCAAGUUAAUUUGAGGGUAAGAUUACUACAUGCUUUUUGGUUAGCUGUUUGUUCAGUUAGUAAACUAACAGCCUGGGAGUCAACAGUGAUACAAAGGCAUAAAAACACGGGUUAUAUUAAAAAAUUCACCUCUUUGUCAUUUUAGGGUGAGUAAUAUCUUUGUACCAUAUUAUAACCUUGAUAUGUGUGAUAUUCUCUUCUAGGCUUGAGAUGUAACAGCCGUGCUCACCCUCAGUCCCCGAAGCCUGCCUGUUUCUCUCAGACACGACCCGACAACUCUUCCCUCACCUGCUUUGUGAGUUAUCAUGUCUAUAAGUUGUUUUUUUGAGCUGGGAUUAGCACUAUUUGGUAAUUUAUGAAUCGCUCCCUGACAUCAGUAGUUGGUGAGGAACAGCCACACUGCAUGAGCAAAGCCUGUAAUUUUACAAACAUCUGUGAAUAUUUUUCAAAAAUGUCUGUUAACAUGAAUUUUGAAAUCUGUAAUGAAUUCUGCAGGUUCACUGGAGAAUAGUAACCUCUUUUCGAGAGACAGAUGUUUGAUUCUGAACAGUUGAAAAUUGGCCUGAAGGAAAUGUUGUUUUCUGCAUAAUUUUCACAUUCUCUUUACAUUACAAAAGCACAGAACUUGCUAGAAAUACAGACAAUAUUUCUACUGGAUGCUGCAAAACAUCAUCCACAUAAUCAGUCUGUGGAUGAUUCACUCAUUUAUGAACAUGUCUCCAUACUGUACAAUGAUAAAAAUAUGGUGAGUGAUUUGGCCUUGUAUGACGUUAUGCAAAAAAAAUAAAUAAAAAAUACGGACUGGAAUGAAAGGUCAGACAUCUGCAUGUAAUCGUCAUCAGAUGUUCCCAGGUAAUGCUAAUCCGGCAAAUCAGGCUGAGUGUUAUUUUUGACCUACGAACACCGAUUCUGUAACUGUAGUGAAACUCUUUUCAACAACUGCAUUAAAAAAUAAAAGAAAUGAUUUGUGUCUUUCUGUCCUUGGCUUAAGUUGAAACAGCCCAUUAUAUUUUUGUCAUGGCUUGUUGUCUGGUUUUGUGCAGGAUUCUGACAGUGAUGUAGCCUGGGCACAAGUAUCUGUUGGGGUGCUGACCCCAACCAUGAAGAUGCUCCACAACCUUCUUGGAGUCUCUAUUUGGACCCAGCAAUGACAGCCAUCAUCACUGAGGGAGGUACUGUAAUGGAAAACCAACCUCAGGCACUUUGCCCCUUGUUUGGACUGUCGUGUGAACUACAUUUGGACUAUCCUAAAGCCAUGAAAAACACAUUUGGAUUCAUUCAGAGUGAUGCUUGGCUUGGGCCAGAACAACAUCCCCCCAAAACUGCAAUCACUCAAAAAUCUCCUGCUGAGUUAAAAUGCAUUUCAUUGUGCAGAAGUGGUGAUGUUUGGCUCACUGAUCCUUGGCAAAGGUUUAAAGUGGCUGGUUAAGUACAUUUAAACUAAAUUUAAAGUUACACCGACUGUUCUUGAAGACUCACUGUUGCUGUUUCAGGAUUACAUUCAGAGUUAUAGAUUAGGUCUGGGGGCUUCUUUUUUAGUUUCAUGCCCAGUCCUUACACUGACUGCCAAGUUGGGCUGCAAUGUUAUUCAACCAACACUGAAUUGCUUUCCAUUAAACAAAAAUGGGCUGUAGAGUUAAUGUUAAAAAUGUUGCUGUACCAAGCACAAUAUUGUGUUUUAAAGGGUAAUGCCAAAAAAGACAUUAAUACAGUUUCACUUUAAAAUAUGAGGUUUCCAGCGCAUAUUUAUGCAGCUAGCUUUUUAGUAUUUAUUGUCUGGUUUCACAAAGUGAAUCUGAUUGCUGAUCCUAGAAGAAACAACUGAG